CGUCACGUUGAGUGAAACUGUGCGAGGCUCCGAAGAACAGAGUUGUGACUGAGGAGUGAUCGACGAGCUCUUCUGCUUCUGUCGCUCAAUCCUCACUGGGAACAUUACAACUACAGCCCAACAGCGGCCAUUUGGACAGGAAGUGUCCAUUUAGAUACAGAGUCUUACUGAGCCUGAGGAGAACACCUGUGUUUACCUGCUGGUUCCUGUCAAAUGGCCGCUGUGAGAAAAAAGGUUUUAUAGCUGGUUAGCAUGCAAAGAAGUGAUAGAAAGAGAAGGAAAGCAAAACGUUGGUGAGUGAAGGAAUGAAGAUUAAUACUUGAACAAACGUCAGUGAUAAGAACGACCUCACCUGACAUGGAGGGGGCGGGGCUUAUGACCUGUACUGCAGCAGACACCAGGGGGCGAUCAUGAGGAUUGUGCUUCACGUCGGUCUAUCUUUAUUUACCGGGUUAGGGGUUGGGUGUGUGUGUGUGUGUGUGUGUUUAAAUGUGUGUGUGUGUGUGUGUGCUGACAGUCCGUCACCAUGAAGCUGCUGCUGCUCGUUGUGUUCACAGUGUCUGUAUGUGUGUCUGUGUCUUCAGUCACUGCAGGUGACGACAGCAGAGAGGUCAGAGGUCAAGCGGGCCACAGCGUCACUCUGCUGUGUCAUUACGACGUGAAGACUCACUCUCUGCUGUCGGUUUGCUGGAAUCGAGGAAAGCUACCACUGUCCGGCUGCAAAGACCUGCUCAUCGCCGUGGACCAGCUGAGAGUGAGAGAGGACACCAGAGUGUCCAGCAGGUAUCAGCUGUGGGGACGACUGGACGAGGGAGACGUGUCUCUGACCAUCCUGAACCUCACGGAGACGGACGCCGGACUGUACGGCUGCAGGGUGGAAAUCCCCGGCUGGUUAAACGAUGAAAAACACAACUUUCAUUUGACCGUUGACUCGGCUCCACAGACGACCACGACACCUCCAGUAAACACAGAGACGUCCACACACCAGACAACAGCUGCUCACACUCCAGGUCACCUGACCACCACAGGACGCGCCCUGACUUCCUCCUCCAGCAGCAUCAGUGCAAGCAGCAGUGUGACCGCAGCUGUGGGGGGCGUUGUGUUCGGCCUGAUAGUCAUGUUGACGGCGGGCGGAGUCGUCGUUGUCGCGAGGAAAUGGAGGCGACUCAACAAAGUCAGAAAUGAAAGUGAGGAGAGAAGAGGGAGUGUCUGAGGUUUCCUCUGUGACUAAUGUGACCUUCACAUGAAGCUGAAACAUUAUGCGAAUGUUACAUGACAAGAGGAAGUGGCUGAUCUGAUCCGCAGCGUGAACCGUUUCACCAUGAAGUCUAAAACUCAACCGGCCACAUCUCUUUUUUUAGCCGUCGGCAGCAGCAGCUGGUCGACACCUCAGUCCAGUUCACGUGUGGAGGUUCUGCAGCGGAGAACAUUUAUCAGAUCGACGGGGGCGAGUACGAGUUCUGCCCCUGACCCGUGGAGCUUCACUGCUGUGGACCCAUGUCCGCCAGCAGGACGGCGUUUUAAAGGGACAGUGUGAGGGACGUGGAACUGUCCCGACGGAACUGUUGAAACGGACAGUGAGGGAAAACAUUGGUCCCUGAGAAGAGUCAAUAGAAAGAGCUCCGGGGCUGCAGGAGCACAGAGUCGUGGUCCAUCCCACUUGACGAGAACAUUCCACAUCUCUGACGUCGCAGCGCUCGAUGGAGUUUUCUCAGUGGUAACAAACUCUGAGGCUCAUGGGAACUAAAGUAAACAAACUGAGGAGGAAAAACCUCAGGGUUUGUUACACUGAGAGAAAACAUCUGUCACAAUCUCACACAUUCAUCUGAAAACACUGAAACGUUUAGAAUCGUCCCUCUGAUGGUAACUGUGCCGGAUAUGUACAAUUAGUUUGAGCAUGUUUUUAGUUUGAAAAUAUGAACUGAGGCUUCUUUCUGUGACGAGGCUCUUCUCUCCAGGACCGACUCUUUCACCUGGGGGUUUAAUCUGAUGAACUGCACACAGACUGACGACCAAUGAGACGGACGACAGCACAACUCCCAAAGAGAACAAGUCCUCCUGGCUGGGCGGGGGCUGAAGUGGGUGGUGCCACAUGUCUGAUGGGUGGGGGCCGUGGACUGUUUAUAAAAGUGGACGUAGAAGUCAAUGCUGGAGUGUAUGAAACCUGCAUUCUCUCUAAUGACCAGCAGCCGGGGGGGGGGGG